ACAAACUCCCCCCGCUUCGACCAUCCUUUUUUUAAAAAGCAAAAGAAGGCGAAAGGAUGAGCUUAAGAGGGAGGGCGCUGAUGCUCUCCUCAAGCCCAACCCCCACCCACCCCACAAACGCCAUUCCUUUCCCGUUUGCGCAGCUCUCUCCCACACAUCUCUCUCCGCAUCCCCGAGCCAGGCCCCCGUCCGUGUGUAUGUGCAUGCGUGUUUUCUUUCUUCAUGACUUUAAGGAAAGAAAACGGAGCAGCGACCAAAAUAAAUACACCGCUCUCUCUCUCUCGGAUCAGACAAUGUGUCACAGUCCGUGCGAUAGCUCCUCGGAGGAAGGGGAAAAAGACAUGUUAUUUUAGCCAGAAGGAGGAGGAGGAUGGAGCGCUUUCGGGCCCUGCGGAGCGUCCGUCUGUCACCCCCGUCAGCCGAGCGUCCGUCUGUCACCCCCGUCAAUGUCGCCGCGCACACUCGCCCUGGCCUCGUGUGCCUUACUUUGAAAAUGUCCAAAUAUAUUUUAAGCUAUGAUAGGCGACUACUCACUGGAAACACCUGAUGUCGUCAUCCACUUAAGAUAAAUAAACGUCUCCUUCUCCCACCAGGACAGAAAUACAGAAAGGCAGUGUCAUCUCAGUUCACCAGCGCUACUGUCGAGGCCAUUGGAACUCUGUUGCUAACCAAAAGAGCAGCGCCUAUGGUAAAACAACGGCAACUGCUGAUGAUGAGUCGUCACGCCUCCCUCCCACUGGAUGACAAAGCAGCUUUAACCUCACGAGGAGCUACGCGGCUCGGCCUCGGUUGCGUCGAGCGGAGGAGGCGCCCUGUCAGGAUGGAGGCGACCUCUCGGUGACCAAGCGCGUCAAAGUCCCUUUGAUGUAAAAAGCCAGCGUUAGUGCCCCAACGCUAAUCCUCAUCUCCGGACCCGCCCCAACGUCAAGUCUGGCGGCACACCUGACGCCGACACGUGACUCCCCUCACCUGCUCCUCAUUGGCUGCCGUGUUCAUGCAGGACCUUUAACACAAGGUUGCCCGCCCGCCACGGCUCUUUACAAGGCCUGCCUUUGGCCAGAGAAAACCUUUUUUAACCUCCUCGGUGCUCGGCAGCAAACAUUUUUGUUUUUGCAUUUUCUGGGGGGACUGAGAGGAGAAGAAGGGAGGAGAGACGACCUCCUAAUGUACAUUCUGUUCUGCUUUGGCUGCGAUUCCCAAGGUUGUUUGUCUGUGUGUGUGUGUGCGUGUGUUAGGUGGUGCCAGGCACUAGCGUCUCCUCUGGCUCGCUCCGUGUUGACCCGACCCUGGACUCUCUCCUCCCUCCCACGAGUUGGGCGAGGCUUGGCAGAGCUGCACGUAUCCAUCCGCACACACUGAUUGCCGGUGACAAAUGAGGAAAGAGGGCAGAGGGCAAAGCCGCGGGAACAAAUCACGCAGAUGUGACGCCGAGUCCAGCGCCAGCGAGCGAGCCAGCACUUUGCCUUGGCCGAGGAAACGGGAAGAAUCAAAGUCGGCAGAUGAUGCAGAUGGAAAGCAUCUGCCUGCCGGGGGACAACAAAAGUGAUCGUAGAUAGAUUGGUGCACACUGGAGUUGACACAGUCCCUCAGCAUAAAUGACCCCGGCUGACCCCGCCAGUUAGCCUUUGUUUAGCAGACGCCCGGCCCCCUUUAAUCUUGUCCAGAGAUAAAUCCUUUGAUGGACCUAGUCCCACUCACUUGAAAGUACGGGCCGGGCCAUCUCCAUAGAUCAACGUAAUACUGCACGUUUGAAGACAGAGGUGGAGGGAGUAGGAGGUAAGGGGGGGCACGCGGGUGGGCUCCCAGGAACAGGGUCAUCCAUCUAAAGUGGACCCACCUGCCCUCUUGACCGCAAAGAGGCAACACUCUGGCAGCAGGAUGACCUUGUCUGUCUGUGUCCGGGCACAGAUGACACAUUUCUUACUCCAAAAACUCCUUUUAAGCUGAACCAUCCCCUUCCCCUUCUUUACAAAGUGACAUCGCCAACUAGAGGCUCGGCAUGCAAAUUACAGCCAAUGUCUCGUCACACACAAGACCCAUUGGAAUUUCCAGGGAGUUGGAACGGCAGCCACAGCGGCUGGCUCACUUUGCAGUAUCAUUUCCUCAUCAUCUUCUCACGCUCAUUUGUCAGUGCACUAAUUGUGAUGAUCCUUGCCACCGACCGUAUAAGCAUCAUCCUUAAAACCGUGGCGGACUUCAGGGAGCUCUUUAGAUUCCUCUGAUAAGACCCCCUCCCACCACCAUCUACCGGUACCCCCGUCUCCCCCCACUCCAUUAAAGAGCCACGCUUGACGGUUCUUAUCUAAAGCUUUCAUCGGAGCAAGGCCGCUGCUAAUGCUGAUAGAUUUGAUCCUGCAGUAGGGAUCAUAUGCCAAUGGGACAAAUUAGAACCUUGCCAAUGCACAAUGAUGACGAUAUGUGUGUGCAAGUCCUACCAAGACAAGUGAGAGCAUCACCCUAAAAUAGGAGGGCGGGCACUUUAAUUGUACCCUGCCAUGGCUCAAAAUGCUGCUGAGUGGGUUUAUUCCUCUUGUUUCCUUGAAGAAUGCAAAAUUUGGGAUGCAGCUUUUAAAUGAGGUCUCACCUUUACAGAUGUAGGUACCAAAUGACGUGGGGCCCACUUUCAUCACACUUUAUCUCUGUCAUUAAUCAUUACAAGAGUGUUAUGUUCCUUCCUUUUAUUCAAUCGCAAGACAAGUAACUUGAGUGCCUAGAAAGGUGUUUAACAAAAAAAAACUAACAGACGUCUUAACAUUGGUUCCCCCCCAAUGGCCCAUCAGGGAAGAGUGAGUCACGUACAUUGGCUCUUUUAUGUGCUUUAAUCCUGUUGCAAGUGCCAGACUUGUAGUAUAAUGUGCAGCAAACCUCACAAUGAGCUGCUGGCGUAGGAAGCCCGGCACAAACACAGGAAGUGGAGCAUUUCUCAGCUCACGUCAACUUUUUGACAUGCGCCCCUUCCCAGCUGAGUGGUAGGGCACCACUACUGCACGCACGCAGUAGCUGAAAUCUUCUUUGGCAGUGGAAAAGCAUUCAUGGGAGCAAGUGACGGUGACAUUCUUCAAAAGUAACUCAACUUAUUUGUUUCUGUAUUUGCAAACCACACAAGUUGGCAGUGCUGCAGGGAAUUGCCGUAAUCUUGUGCAACAGCAGCAUCUAGCGGUCAAAGUUGUUAGUUUCAGGAUUAAAAAAAAAUAGCCAACUGUGCAAAUCACUCAGGUGCAUGCGGAAUUUAACCCGCAAAGUAGUAUUUUGUGCGCCCAUUUGAUGUAUUUCAUAGUCAAAAUGAUCAUUUUCUGUCUGAAUAUUGUGACAACA